GUAGGGAAUCUUGCGCAAUGGGCGAAAGCCUGACGCAGCCAUGCCGCGUGAAUGAUGAAGGUCUUAGGAUUGUAAAAUUCUUUCACCGGGGACGAUAAUGACGGUACCCGGAGAAGAAGCCCCGGCUAACUUCGUGCCAGCAGCCGCGGUAAUACGAAGGGGGCUAGCGUUGCUCGGAAUUACUGGGCGUAAAGGGAGCGUAGGCGGAUAGUUUAGUCAGAGGUGAAAGCCCAGGGCUCAACCUUGGAAUUGCCUUUGAUACUGGCUAUCUUGAGUAUGGAAGAGGUAUGUGGAACUCCGAGUGUAGAGGUGAAAUUCGUAGAUAUUCGGAAGAACACCAGUGGCGAAGGCGACUCACUGGCCCGUUACUGACGCUGAGGCGCGAAAGCGUGGGGAGCAAACAGGAUUAGAUACCCCAGUAGUCC
rnacentral:rRNA from 1 species